UAACUUACCUGGCAGGGGAAACACCAUGUUGACAAAGGUGGUUUUCCCAGGCCGAGUCUCCCCCAUUGCACUCCAGGCGUGCUGACUCCUGAGAUUUCCCCAAAUGUGGGAAACUUGACUGCAUAAUUUGUGGUAGUGGGGGAUUGUGUUUGCGCUCUCCCCUG